rnacentral:rRNA from 1 species
ACGCACGUGUGAAACUUGAAGGAAUUGACGGAAGGGCACCACAAGAACGCGUGGAGCAUGUGGCUUAAUUUGACCCAACGCGGGAAAUCUUACCGGGUCCGGACACACUGAGGAUUGACAGGCAAUAUUAGCAAUUCAUUCGGUCUCUCGGGGCUGUUUUGUGUUGUUAUGUUAAAUAUGCUAGUCCUUUCAUGAUUAUGUGAUAGGUGGUGCAUGGCCGUUCUUAGUUCGUGGAGUGAUCUGUCUGCUUAAUUGCGUUUCACUAAGGGCCUAUAAUUUAACGUGUGUUGCGGCACUUUGACCCCUCUUCGGAGCGCGCGCCUUAGUUUGUUUAGCUCACACAAUUAGGUCCUGAAAGCAACGAACGUGACCG